rnacentral:rRNA from 1 species
AUACAGAGGGAUAGCCUCGGGAAACCGGGAUUAAAACCUCAUAACACGAGAGUUUCACAUGUUACUUUCGUCAAAGAUUUAUCGGUAUGGGAUGGGCCUGCGUCUGAUUAGCUAGUUGGUGAGGUAACGGCUCACCAAGGCAACGAUCAGUAGCCGACCUGAGAGGGUAAUCGGCCACAUUGGAACUGAGACACGGUCCAAACUCCUACGGGAGGCAGCAGUGGGGAAUAUUGCACAAUGGGCGAAAGCCUGAUGCAGCAACGCCGCGUGAGCGAUGAAGGCCUUUGGGUCGUAAAGCUCUGUCCUUGGGGAAGAAAAAAAUGACGGUACCCUUGGAGGAAGCCCCGGCUAACUACGUGCCAGCAGCCGCGGUAAUACGUAGGGGGCAAGCGUUAUCCGGAAUUAUUGGGCGUAAAGAGUGCGUAGGUGGUUAUGUAAGCGCAGGGUGAAAGGCAAUAGCUCAACUAUUGUAAGCCUUGCGAACUGCAUGACUUGAGUGCAGGAGAGGAAAGUGGAAUUCCUAGUGUAGCGGUGAAAUGCGCAGAUAUCGGAAGGAACACCAGUGGC